GCCAAGGCUAUGGAAGCCUCUUGAGUUUGCCAACUCCGAACUUAUUUAGACAAAGCCACAGUCAAAGUGGAAGUUCUCGCCUCCGUUCAGAGAGAGGGUUAGAGGAAGAAUCUGUUCCCUUGAAUUUCCUGGCUUUUAGAGGCUGCCUGUGCUUGGCCCGUAUCCUUUCCUUAGACUUCAAAGCAAGCAGAGGAACACCUGCAUGUCUCUCUGAUCUGAUUCUCCUGCUUCUCUGUUCCUCUGAGUCACUGGAUGAACAAUGAAAUUUCACAUCAAGCAAAAGUGAUGCUGUGAAUUUUACUACAAAAGGCCAUGGAACUUCCCUGCAUCUCAUGAGGCUGAGUGUAUCUCCCAGAGUGAAACCCAAUUCCUCUGCAGCUCACCAGCCAUGGUCACCCAUGGUCCACUCCUCAGGAGUGGCGACAAUGUUCAGGAAUUGCAUAUGGUGAUGGAUGCACAACACUGUGAAGAUAGUAAAUAAAGCUCACUGAAUUGCAUACUUGAAAAAGCCCACUAGAGGCAGAGCAACCAAAAGCAGGUUAAGGAAUAAAUUGCUCUUUCUGGGCCUAUAUUGAAGCAAAGACAUAGUCUUCUCUUGCGCUAAAGUUGGAACUUACAUCAUUGGAUCUACCAAUUCUCAAAACUUCAGACUUGGACUACAUCAUCAGUUGUCUCAAUACUAAAGUCUUUGGACUCAGAUUAGAACCAUUUGACAAUCUCCUGUGAGUUUCCAGGUUGAAAAUGGCAAAUCAAGGAAGUUAGCUUUCUGAGUAUACUAGCCAAUUCCUUAUA